rnacentral:rRNA from 1 species
GACGAACGCUGGCGGCGUGCUUAACACAUGCAAGUCGAACGGUGAAGGGGUCUGCUUUUGUGGGCCCUGGAUGAGUGGCGAACGGGUGAGUAACACGUGAGUAACCUGCCCCCUUCUUCUGGAUAACCGCAUGAAAGUGUGGCUAAUACGGGAUAUUCUGGGUCUGUCGCAUGAUGGGUCUGGGAAAGAUUGCGCCUUUGGGUGUUCUUGGUGGGGGAUGGGCUCGCGGCCUAUCGGCUUGUUGGUAGGGUGAUGGCCUAGCGAGGAGGUGACGGGUAGCUGAGAUGAGGGGGAGGCAGGUUACACUGGGAAUGAGACACAGACCAGAACGGGAGGGAGGGGAGGGGUGGGGAGUAUAGCGCAAUGAGGGCAAGCCUGAUGCAGCGGCGCCGGGUGAGAGAUGGUGGGCUUCGGGUUGUAAACCUCUUGCGCAAGUAAAGCAGGCCUGCUCCUUGUGGGUGGGUUGACGGUAGCUGGAUAAGAAGCGCCGGCUAACUACGUG